rnacentral:rRNA from 1 species
UACGAAGGGGGCUAGCGUUGUUCGGAAUUACUGGGCGUAAAGCGCACGUAGGCGGAUACUUAAGUUAGGGGUGAAAUCCCGGGGCUCAACCCCGGAACUGCCUUUAAUACUGGGUAUCUCGAGUUCGAGAGAGGUGAGUGGAAUUCCGAGUGUAGAGGUGAAAUUCGUAGAUAUUCGGAGGAACACCAGUGGCGAAGGCGGCUCACUGGCUCGAUACUGACGCUGAGGCGCGAAGGCGUGGGGAGCGAACGGG